AAGGAACGCUGGCGGCAUGCCUAACACAUGCAAGUCGAACGAGAUCUUCGGGUCUAGUGGCGCACGGGUGCGUAACGCGUGGGAAUCUGCCCUUUGGUUCGGAAUAACAGUUGGAAACGACUGCUAAUACCGGACGAUGACGAGAGUCCAAAGAUUUAUCGCCAGAGGAUGAGCCCGCGUAGGAUUAGCUAGUUGGUGUGGUAAAGGCGCACCAAGGCGACGAUCCUUAGCUGGUCUGAGAGGAUGAUCAGCCACACUGGGACUGAGACACGGCCCAGACUCCUACGGGAGGCAGCAGUGGGGAAUAUUGGACAAUGGGCGAAAGCCUGAUCCAGCAAUGCCGCGUGAGUGAUGAAGGCCUUAGGGUUGUAAAGCUCUUUUACCCGGGAUGAUAAUGACAGUACCGGGAGAAUAAGCUCCGGCUAACUCCGUGCCAGCCGCCGCCGUAA
rnacentral:rRNA from 1 species